UACAGAGGUCCCAAGCGUUGUUCGGAUUCAUUGGGCGUAAAGGGUGCGUAGGCGGCGCGGUAAGUCGGGUGUGAAAUCUCGGAGCUUAACUCCGAAACUGCAUUCGAUACUGCCGUGCUUGAGGACUGGAGAGGAGACUGGAAUUUACGGUGUAGCGGUGAAAUGCGCAGAUAUCAGGAGGAACACCGGUGGCGAAGGCGGGUCUCUGGGCCGAUACUGACGCUGAGGAGCGAAAGCGUGGGGAGCGAACAGG
rnacentral:rRNA from 1 species